rnacentral:rRNA from 1 species
CCAACAGGGAUUGCCUCAGUAACGGCGAGUGAAGCGGCAACAGCUCAAAUUUGAAAUCUGGCCUAGCCCGAGUUGUAAUUUGCAGAGGAUGCUUCUGGUGCGGCGCUGUCCAAGUCCCCUGGAACGGGGCGCCACAGAGGGUGAGAGCCCCGUCUGGUCAGCCGCCAAGCCUGUGUGAAGCUCCUUCGACGAGUCGAGUAGUUUGGGAAUGCUGCUCUAAACGGGAGGUAGACCCCUUCUAAAGCUAAAUAUUGGCCAGAGACCGAUAGCGCACAAGUAGAGUGAUCGAAAGAUGAAAAGCACUUUGAAAAGAGGGUUAAACAGUACGUGAAAUUGUUAAAAGGGAAGCGCUUGUGACCAGACGUGCGCCGGGCGUUCAGCGGGCGUUCUCGCCCGUGCACUCGCCCCGGCGCAGGCCAGCGUCGGUUCGGACGGGGGGACAAAGGCGUCGGGAACGUAGCUCCUCCGGGAGUGUUAUAGCCCGACGUGCCAUGCCCCCGGCCGGACCGAGGUUCGCGCUCUGCAAGGACGCUGGCAUAAUGGUCCCCAGCGGCCCGUCUUGAAACACGGACCAAGGAGUCGAGGUUUUGUGCGAGUGUUUGGGUGUCAAACCCGCACGCGUAAUGAAAGUGAACGUAGGUGGGAGCUUCGGCGCACCACCGACCGAUCCUGAUGUUCUCGGAUGGAUUUGAGUAGGAGCACAGGGCCUCGGACCCGAAAGAUGGUGAACUAUACUUGGAUAGGGUGAAGCCAGAGGAAACUCUGGUGGAGGCUCGCAGCGGUUCUGACGUGCAAAUCGAUCGUCAAAUCUGAGUAUGGGGGCGAAAGACUAAUCGAACCAU